AAUUGUAUAGCUUAUUACUAAUAGAGCGUUGUGUUUUUAGCGCAAGAGGAAACUUAGCAGUUUACAGUUA
rnacentral:tRNA from 2 species